rnacentral:rRNA from 13 species
GGCGCUUACCACUUUGUGAUUCAUGACUGGGGUGAAGUCGUAACAAGGUAACCGUAGGGGAACCUGCGGUUGGAUCACCUCCUUACCUUAAAGAAGC